AGGCGCUGCGAGAAUUCGGGUGCCCCCCCUGGGAAGAGCCCCCCAAGGUGGAUGAGCCGCUCAGCCCGCCGGUGACCGUGGAUGACCCCGGCGAUCCCGAGCUGGCCCAGGCCGUGGCCGCCGCCCGCGGGGCCGCCCCGGGGUGGGGGCGGCUGCCGGGGGCGUCGCGGGCCCGGGUGCUGCGGGGGGCGGCGGCGGCGCUGGCGGGGGGAGCCGGGACCCCCGGGGACGGCGACAGCGGCGACAGCGGCGACAGCGACCGGAGCCUGCAGGGGGCGCUGCUGCGCUGGGCGGAGCGAGCCGAGCGCGCGGGCGGGGCCGUGCAGGAGGUGCCCGGGGGGCGGGGCCUGCUGACGAGGCGGCCGCUGGGAGUGCUGGGCGUGGCCUGGGGCUGGCCCCGCCCCCUGGCGCUGGAGCUCCUCCCCCCGGCGCUGGCGCUCGGAAACUCCGUCGUGGUGGUGGCGCCUCCUGGCGGCCUUGGCGCCGCACAGCGUCUACGGAAGGUGCGGAACGGGGA